CCCUUAGAUGUUCUGGGCCGCACGCGCGCUACACUGACAGAGCCAGCGAGUUUUUUUCCUUGGCCGGAAGGUCUGGGUAAUCUUGUGAAACUCUGUCGUGCUGGGGAUAGAGCAUUGCAAUUAUUGCUCUUCAACGAGGAAUUCCUAGUAAGCGUGAGUCAUCAGCUCGCGUUGAUUACGUCCCUGCCCUUUGUACACACCGCCCGUCGCUACUACCGAUUGAAUGGCUUAGUGAGGUCUUGGGAUUGGCUUCGGAGAGCCGGCAACGGCACCCUGUCGCUGAGAACUUGAUCAAACUUGGUCAUUUAGAGGAAGUAAAAGUCGUAACA
rnacentral:rRNA from 1 species